rnacentral:rRNA from 1 species
AAACAAAAAUUUUAUUAAUAUUGUUAAUUUUAUAUUAUUUAUUUAAAAUAUUAUUAUUUAAUUAAAUUUAUUGAAAAAAUUUAUUUUAGUGAUAGUUUAUUUGUAUUGUGAAAGGAUAUUUAAAAUUAUAUAAAAGAAUAAUUUAUUUUUAGUACCUUGUGUAUCAGGGCUGAUUAAAAUAUUUAUAUAAAAUUUAUGAGUCUCGAAUCUUAAAGAGUUAAGGUUUUAUUUAUUAAAUGUUUCAUAAUUUUCAAUAAUAAAACUUUAGUAGCGAAAUGUUAUUCGUUUUUUGAUAUAUCUAGUUUUUUAAGAAAUAAAUUUAAUUUAUUUAUUUUUAAAAUUAUAUUUAUUUAUUAAUUGGAUUUUGAAAAUAUUAAAUUUUUCUUGGGAAAAGCUUGGAGAAAUAAGUUUAUUUGAUUUUGGGUUUAGAUUUGUGAGUAGGAAUAUAAUUUUCCGUCUUUCUAGAAUGUUAUAGUUACCUUAUUUAUAAAUUAAUAUUUAUAUUUUCAAUAAAUUUUUUAUUAAAAUUUUAAAUUUAACUUAGUUAUUUAGGAAAUAAUGAUUGGAUUAGUAUAUUUUUAUGUAUUUUUAUAUUUAUAGGAGAGAUUUAAUUAAUGAAUUCGGCAAUUUUAUUUUCCACCUGUUUAUUAAAAACAUGGCUUUUUGAGAAUAAUUUAAGGUCGUACCUGCUCAAUGAUUAUUUAAAUAGCUGCAGUAUCUUGACUGUACAAAGGUAGCAUAAUCACUAGUUUCUUAAUUGGAGGCUUGUAUGAAAGGUUUGAUGAGAAAAUAACUGUUUCUUUUAUAUAAAUAGAAAUUAAUUUUUAAGUAAAAAAGCUUAAAUAAUAUUAAAAGACGAGAAGACCCUAUAGAGUUUAAUGAUUAUAUUAAUUUUUACUAAUGAAGUGUAAAUUUAUUUAAAUUAAUAUUGUUAUUUAAUUGGGGUGAUUAAAAAAUUUAUUAAACUUUUUUUUAUUAAAACUUAUAUUUAAGAUAAAUUUGAUUCAUUUUUAAUGAUUAUAAGAAUAAAUUACCUUAGGGAUAACAGCGUAAUUUUUUUUUAGAGCUCUAAUCGAUAAAAGGGAUUGCGACCUCGAUGUUGGAUUAAAAUUAACUUUUCAGCGCAAAAGCUAAAUGGUUGAGUCUGUUCGACUUUUAAAAUUUUACAUGAUCUGAGUUUAAACCGGCGUGAGCCAGGUUGGUUUCUAUCUUUAAUUAAAGUUAAAAUUUUAGUACGAAAGGACCAAAUUUUUAAUUAAUAAUUUGUUUUUUGAAUAAAAA